GUAGGUGGCAAGCGUUGUCCGGAAUUAUUGGGCGUAAAGCGCGCGCAGGCGGUUCUUUAAGUCUGAUGUGAAAGCCCACGGCUCAACCGUGGAGGGUCAUUGGAAACUGGAGAACUUGAGUACAGAAGAGGAAAGCGGAAUUCCACGUGUAGCGGUGAAAUGCGUAGAGAUGUGGAGGAACACCAGUGGCGAAGGCGGCUUUCUGGUCUGUAACUGACGCUGAGGCGCGAAAGCGUGGGGAGCAAACAGGAUUAGAUACCCUGGUAGUCCACGCCGUAAACGAGGAGUGCUAAGUGUUAGGGGGUUUCCGCCCCCUUAGUGCUGCAGCUAACGCAUUAAGCACUCCGCCUGGGGAGUACGGCCGCAAGGCUG
rnacentral:rRNA from 1 species